rnacentral:rRNA from 1 species
ACGCUCGACACCUACGGGAGGCAGCAGUGGGGAAUAUUGCACAAUGGGGGAAACCCUGAUGCAGCGACGCCGCGUGAGGGAAGAAGGUUUUCGGAUUGUAAACCUCUGUCCUUGGUGAAGAAAGCAGACGGUAGCCAAGGAGGAAGCCACGGCUAACUACGUACCAGCAGCCGCGGUAAUCUGAGCGGGCUGGCAAGGC